rnacentral:lncRNA from 1 species
UGAGAGGUGGAGCCUAGCUGGAAGAAACGUAUGGCCAUCAAUAGCCUUUGAAAGCAAUAGUCAACCCUUGUUUCUCCCAUGUUGUCUGUUUCCUGACCCAUUGUGCUGUGAACAGCACUGCCUCAUGUGCCCUGGCCUCCAUGAACUGAGCUGCCCCAGACUUCCCUGCCAUGAUGAACUGAAACUCCGGAAAACAACAAACCCAACUAAAUCUGCCCUCCUGGAAGCUGCCAGAAUCACAACUAACAGACGGCCUCGAGUCUCAGUAGAGACACUGGACUUUGAACAAUGGAGGAACAGUUACGAUCAUGUGGACUUGAAACUGGUCUGAGUGAACUUUGCGUUUGGAGGCCAGAGAUGGGAUGGUAUACUUUACAUCUGAAGACUCCUCCUCGGGCUUCUGUUUUAAAUGGUCCCUUGCUGACAGUGCCAUUUUCUUUCAGAGAGUGUGAAACUUCUAUGAAUUCUGGCUUAAAAAGGUAAGCAUGUCGUUGGGGACCAGUCUUUGAAGAUGAUACCUGGACCCUGCUUCCUGUCAUUCUGUGUUUUCUGACCCACUGUAAUAGCAACAGCUAUAAUCCUACAUUCCCAAUCCCCAAAAUCGAGUCGCUCCACAGUGCCUUCGGAGCCAUCUAGGAGACAGCAUUAACAGUUUUCCUCUUAGGAGGUUUAUGCAUGGGAUUGUGGUAAGAGUAUCAGAAGUAACUAAAGUCUGGGAUCUUCUUGGUUCUACCUAGAACUCACUAAUAUUUGGUAUGAGGGAAAAGCAGGUACAUUUUCUCUCUGACAUCUUCUCUCUUGUACCUGAGUAAUAAGUAGAAAUGGCUCCACGAGGAAGGAUUUCACUCCUCCUUGGCAUUCUUUCCUCUGGCCUUCAUUUAUCAUCCGUGCACCUAGUCUCUAAGCUGAACAUGUGUAAAAUAUAAACAGGCAAACUGUUCUCCCCCAGUUAAAGUUUUCAAAAUUACAUCUACAUAGGAUUUUAUCUUAGACCGCUUAUUUUUUUUUUAAGAUGAAAGGAAUUCAGGGAUGCUAGAGGGGUG